UCAAUUAUUGUUAUAAUUUGUAAUGGAAUACAAAAGUGUAGUGUAACCAAUGGAUUUGAGCGGUUAUGUAUUUAAAGACGUAUAGGUAUGACGAAACUAUUUACAUUGAGAAAUAUUUCAUGCUUUGAAAUGUAAGUUUCUUAUAAGGGAGACCUAAAACUAAAAAUGUUGUGUAACCUGGCAAACUGAAACAUCUUAUUAGCCAGAGGCAAAAUAAAUCAAAUAGAGAUUCUGUAAUUAACGGUGAGUAAACGCAGAUAAGACCUUUGAGCUUUUAAUUAUGAACAAACUGAGUAUAUUUCAGACCGUAGGUUGGUUCAAGUCCCGUUUUUUUGUAAUAAACUAUAAGCUUAAUGAGUAAAAUGAUGCAGGAUUUGUUCAUUUGAAAGAGGGAGUCCAUCUUCCAAGUCUGAAAUAUGAAUACGUAGACCGAUAGUGGACAAAGUACCGUGAGGGAAAAAUGAAAAGAAACAAAAGUGAAAUAGAAUUUGAAAUUGGUUACUUUAGAAGCAAUUAUUCGUUUAAAGAAUAAUGUACCUUUUGCAUAAUGGGUCAACAAAUUGAAUAAAAAAGCAAUUUGUAUAAAAGUAAUGAAAGUAAUUCCCUAACGGGGAAUGCAGUUGUUUUAUUCAAACUCGAAACCGAGUGAUCUAGUUAUGAACAAAUUGAAGAUAUUUUAAAAACGUAUCGGAGGAUUGCACCCGUGUAUGUAGCAAUAUACUGGGAAGAUUUGUAGCUAGGGGUGAAAGGCUAAUCAAACUCGGAUAUAGCUAGUUUUCUACGAAAUCUAUUGAGGUAGUUUGGUAAUAAAAAAUUGAAGUGGGUAUAGCACUUACCAAUGUUGGUUAAACUAAAAAUAAUUUCAAAUUGUUAGUUACCAAGCAGAAUAUAGGCGCAAAGGUCUAUUUUUUCAAAAGGGAAACAGCCCAGACCUCCGGCUAAAGUCCAUAAAAAAAUUUGAGUGUAAAAAAAGAAUUUUGGAUGAUUAGAAUUGGCAAGUUGGCUUAGAAGCAGCCAUCCUUUAAAGAAAGCGUAACAGCUCGUCAAUCCUAGAAUUUAAAUAAUUCUGAAAAUGUAACAGGACUAAGAUUUUUACUUAAGCUAAGGUUGCUUUGAUUAUAAAAUUAAGUAAAGGCAAGGUAGUAGAACGACCAUUAAAGAUAUAUAUAUGUUUUCGAUAGAAAAAGUAUAUGGUGUGAUAAUGUUGACACGAGUAACGUUUAGGUUGGUGAAGAACAACCUCAUCAAAUAUGUAAGGAUUCCGAUGUAAAGUAACUUUCAUCGGGUUAGUCGGUCCCUAAUAGUUCUCUAUUUAUAAAAUAAGACUAGAUGGGUUAUUGGUCAGGCAACUACGAGUUUGCAUUAGUGUUAAUAACACUAAGCGCCCGUGUUAAUAAUAAAAUGCUUGACCUUUUGAGAAAAGUGACUUUUUAUUUAUUCAUGUUUAUUAAACUAAUUGCUUACGUGACUAUAUAAAUACUAGAAAAAGCUGUCUCAUAAAAAAACCGUACUUAAAGCCGACACAGGUAUUUUGAUAGAGUAUAUUAAGAUGAUUAAAAGAACAACACUGAAGGAACUCGGCAAAUUGACUCCGUAACUUCGGGAAAAGGAGUGCUUGCAUAGAGUAAUCUAUGUGUGCGUAACAGAAUAGGGGGUAGCGACUGUUUAAUAAAAACACAGGACUCUGCUAAAUUGAAAAAUGAUGUAUAGAGUCUGACAUCUGCCCGGUACCAUUAGAUAAACAAACGAGUUAUUGCUUGUGAGUAAAGGAUUGGUGAACGGCGGCUGUAACCAUAACGGUCCUAAGGUAGCGAAAUUCCCUGUCGGGUAAGUUCCGACCUGCAUGAAUGAUGUAACGACUUCCCCACUGUCUCCAGUGUUGCUUUAGUGAAACUGAAUUUGUUGUGAAGAUGCAAUAUUAAUAGUAAGUAGACGGAAAGACCCUGUACACCUUUACUAUAACACGGGAUUGUACGUUUGUUGUGUUUAUGUAGAAUAACUCUUAAGCUUAUAACUCACGUUACGCAAGUAACUUUGAUGAGGCGUCGAUGAAAUAAGAGUUUUGCGGAACAAAUCUCUGUAUAGUCACAUUAAAAAUCCAGUGUGGUUAGUUUAACUGGGGUGGUUGUCUUCUAAAAUGUAACGAAGAUGUAUAAAGGUAUAUUUUGAAUUUAAUGGUAAACUUAUGCUUAACUGUAAGAAUUACACUUCGAACAGAGACGAAAGUCGAUCAUAAUGAUCCAAUAGUGCUGUGUGGAAAGGCUAUUGCUCAACGGAUAAAAGGUACGUCAGGGAUAACAGGCUAAUAAAUCUUUAGAGUCCAUAUUUCCAGGUUUGUUUGGCACUUCGAUGUCGACUCAUCACAUCCUGGAGCUGCAGGAGGUUCCAAGGGUUGGGCUGUUCGCCCAUUAAAGUGGUACGUGAGUUGGGUUUAGAACGUUGUGAAACAGUUCGGUUCCUAUCUUUUACUUAUUUUAGAAUAAUAAAAUUAUAUCCCUCGUACGAGAGGAUUGGGGUGUGUAUGUCACUGGUACUUCAGUUAUUUUACUAAAUGGUAAGCUGAAAAGCUAAACAUAAAUUUAGAAUCGCUGAAAGCAUAUAAGCGAGAAAAUGUUUUUUAUUUAUUCUAUUUUUCUACUGAUAGAUUAUCAGUCCCUUAUAAGAUUUAGAGCUAGCAAUGGAUGGUCUUUAGAAUUGGGAAAAAUUUGAUUUUUGUAUUUUUUGUCUUUU
rnacentral:rRNA from 1 species